GACGAACGCUGGCGGCGUGCCUAAUACAUGCAAGUCGAACGCUUCUUUUUCCACCGGAGCUUGCUCCACCGGAAAAAGAGGAGUGGCGAACGGGUGAGUAACACGUGGGUAACCUGCCCAUCAGAAGGGGAUAACACUUGGAAACAGGUGCUAAUACCGUAUAACAAUCAAAACCGCAUGGUUUUGAUUUGAAAGGCGCUUUCGGGUGUCGCUGAUGGAUGGACCCGCGGUGCAUUAGCUAGUUGGUGAGGUAACGGCUCACCAAGGCCACGAUGCAUAGCCGACCUGAGAGGGUGAUCGGCCACAUUGGGACUGAGACACGGCCCAAACUCCUACGGGAGGCAGCAGUAGGGAAUCUUCGGCAAUGGACGAAAGUCUGACCGAGCAACGCCGCGUGAGUGAAGAAGGUUUUCGGAUCGUAAAACUCUGUUGUUAGAGAAGAACAAGGAUGAGAGUAACUGUUCAUCCCUUGACGGUAUCUAACCAGAAAGCCACGGCUAACUACGUGCCAGCAGCCGCGGUAAUACGUAGGUGGCAAGCGUUGUCCGGAUUUAUUGGGCGUAAAGCGAGCGCAGGCGGUUUCUUAAGUCUGAUGUGAAAGCCCCCGGCUCAACCGGGGAGGGUCAUUGGAAACUGGGAGACUUGAGUGCAGAAGAGGAGAGUGGAAUUCCAUGUGUAGCGGUGAAAUGCGUAGAUAUAUGGAGGAACACCAGUGGCGAAGGCGGCUCUCUGGUCUGUAACUGACGCUGAGGCUCGAAAGCGUGGGGAGCAAACAGGAUUAGAUACCCUGGUAGUCCACGCCGUAAACGAUGAGUGCUAAGUGUUGGAGGGUUUCCGCCCUUCAGUGCUGCAGCUAACGCAUUAAGCAUCCGC
rnacentral:rRNA from 1 species